UAACACCUGGAAACAGAUGCUAAUACCGGAUAACAAACAAGAUGAUGCCUAUCAACUGUUUAAAAGAUGGUUCUGCUAUCACUCUUGGAUGGACCUGCGGUGCAUUAGCUAGUUGGUAGGGUAACGGCCUACCAAGGCGAUGAUGCAUAGCCGAGUUGAGAGACUGAUCGGCCACAUUGGGACUGAGACACGGCCCAAACUCCUACGGGAGGCAGCAGCC
rnacentral:rRNA from 1 species